UAUACAGGAAGUACCAGUACCAGAUCAAUGUGGAGUUAUAUACAGGGAGUACCAGAUCAAUGUGGAGCUAUAUACAGGAAGUACCAGUACCAGAUCAAUGUGGAGCUAUAUACAGGGAGUAACAGAUCAAUGUGGAGCUAUAUACAGGGAGUACCAGUACCAGAUCAAUGUGGAGCUAUAUACAGGGAGUGCCAGAUCAAUGUGGAGCUAUAUACAGGAAGUACCAGUACCAGAUCAAUGUGGAGCUAUAUAAAUGAAGUACCAUUACCAGAUCAAUGUGGAGUUAUAUACAGGAAGUAUCAGUACCA
ensembl:lncRNA